rnacentral:rRNA from 1 species
GACGUAGGGCGCGAGCGUUGUCCGGAUUUAUUGGGCGUAAAGAGCUCGUAGGCGGCUUGUCGCGUCGACUGUGAAAUCCCGCGGCUCAACUGCGGGUCUGCAGUCGAUACGGGCAGGCUAGAGUUCGGUAGGGGAGACUGGAAUUCCUGGUGUAGCGGUGAAAUGCGCAGAUAUCAGGAAGAACACCCGUGGCGAGGGCGGCUCUCUGGGACGGUACUGACGCUGAGACGCGAAAGCGUGGGGAGCGAACAGG